rnacentral:tRNA from 1 species
UGCAGGUAUAGGUCUGUGGCACAGCACUUGCCUAGCAUAUGCUAGGCCCUGGGUUCAAUUCCCAGUACUGCAG